CGGCUAUAUGUGCAUAUAUGUGUAUGUACUGUGGCGGGGGGGUUGUAACUGUGUUUACCGCAAGUAAUGAACCAAUCAGCAGGCUGCCCAGGGGAGGAUGUACACUGAAAAAAAGGGACUGGCCAUCUCUUGGAUUUAUGUGAAGUAAGUCAAUAAGAUAGCAACGUUAAAUCUCGUGAAACCACGCGUGAUUUCAUCUCGCGGGCUUUGGAUCGUGGUUCAAAAAAGGCAUCCAUCUCAGUCAAGUCGAGCAGCCAACUCUACGUUUUUGGAGUCAGCUGAUGGAUUGUGGGUUCAAGGUGUUAUGAUAAAAUGCAGCAUUCCAGUGCAUCCCAACCAUGCCUUUACAGUCAAGGUUUCUGACGGAGCUGAGUUUCUCUCUGACAGUCUGCUGAAAGUGUUUGCAAAGUGAUCGGGGGAACAGUGCACAAAGCUAAAGGAUGUAGCUGCCAUGAUGACAGAUGACAUUAAUGCUCAAAGGGGGUCUCAUCAAAGUGCUCCGCAUCUGUGUGAAAGACAAUUGCAACAUCUUGGUGCAGGAGUUCAUGGACUUGACUGAGGCCACUGCACAGAUUGAGAAAACCACAAUGAACAUCUGUCUCCAGAGAUGCGCCAGGCAAUG
ensembl:lncRNA